rnacentral:rRNA from 1 species
UACAGAGGGGGCAAGCGUUAUUCGGAAUUAUUGGGCGUAAAGGGCGCGUAGGCGGCCUGGCAAGUGACGGGUGAAAGCCCUCGGCUCAACCGAGGAACUGCCUGUCAUACUGCCGGGCUUGAGUCCGGGAGAGGUGAGUGGAAUUCCCAGUGUAGCGGUGAAAUGCGUAGAUAUCUGGAGGAACACCGGUGGCGAAGGCGGCAUUCUGGACCGAUAUUGACACUGAGGCACGAAGGCCAGGGGAGCAAACGGG